AUGUCUGCCCUAUCAAUUUUCGAUGGUAGGUGACCUGCCUACCAUGGUGAUAACGGGUAACGGGGAAUCAGGGUUCGAUUCCGGAGAGGGAGCCUGAGAAACGGCUACCACUUCCAAGGAAGGCAGCAGGCGCGCAAAUUACCCAAUCCCGGCACGGGGAGGUAGUGACGAAAAAUACGGAUACGGGACUCGUUAGAGGCUCCGUAAUUCGAAUGAGUACACUUUAAAUCCUUUAACGAGGAUCAACUGGAGGGCAAGUCUGGUGCCAGCAGCCGCGGUAACUCCAGCUCCAGAAGCGUAUAUUAAAGUUGUUGCAGUUAAAAAGCUCGUAGUUGGAUCUGGGUCGCAUGGCUACAUGCCGUUGCUCGUAUUUCUGGCCUGGUUCACACCGGGACGGAUUUAUGAGUCGGUGUCGUGGUUGUGCAGCCUUUCUGCCGUGUCUGUUUCGACAGGUGUUGGCAUGAUUGGUGGGUUCGUCCUGCUGGUCUGUUGACAUGCUUCCAGGUGCCCUUUACUGGGUGUCGGGGGCGGACGGCACGUUUACUUUGAACAAAUUUGAGUGCUCAAAGCAGGCCCGUGUGCCUGAAAAUUCUUGCAUGGAAUAAUGGAAUAGGACUUCGGUUCUAUUUUGUUGGUUUUCGGAUCCGAAGUAAUGGUUAAAAGGGACAGACGGGGGCAUUUGUAUGGCGGUGUUAGAGGUGAAAUUCUUGGAUCGCCGCCAGACAAACUACAGCGAAAGCAUUUGCCAAGGAUGUUUUCAUUGAUCUGGAGCGAAAGUCAGAGGUUCGAAGACGAUCAGAUACCGUCCUAGUUCUGACCAUAAACGAUGCCAACUGACGAUCCG
rnacentral:rRNA from 1 species